UACGUAGGGUGCGAGCGUUGUCCGGAAUUAUUGGGCGUAAAGAGCUUGUAGGCGGUUUGUCGCGUCUGCUGUGAAAAUCCGGGGCUCAACCCCGGACUUGCAGUGGGUACGGGCAGACUGGAGUGUGGUAGGGGAGACUGGAAUUCCUGGUGUAGCGGUGGAAUGCGCAGAUAUCAGGAGGAACACCGAUGGCGAAGGCAGGUCUCUGGGCCACCACUGACGCUGAGAAGCGAAAGCAUGGGGAGCGAACAGG
rnacentral:rRNA from 1 species